rnacentral:rRNA from 1 species
AGUGAACGCUGGCGGUAGGCCUAACGCAUGCAAGUCGAACGGCAGCACAGUAAGAGCUUGCUCUUACGGGUGGCGAGUGGCGGACGGGUGAGGAAUACAUCGGAAUCUACUUUUUCGUGGGGGAUAACGUAGGGAAACUUACGCUAAUACCGCAUACGACCUACGGGUGAAAGCAGGGGAUCUUCGGACCUUGCGCGAUUGAAUGAGCCGAUGUCGGAUUAGCUAGUUGGCGGGGUAAAGGCCCACCAAGGCGACGAUCCGUAGCUGGUCUGAGAGGAUGAUCAGCCACACUGGAACUGAGACACGGUCCAGACUCCUACGGGAGGCAGCAGUGGGGAAUAUGGGACAAUGGGCGCAAGCCUGAUCCAGCCAUACCGCGUGGGUGAAGAAGGCCUUCGGGUUGUAAAGCCCUUUUGUUGGGAAAGAAAAGCAGCAGGUUAAUACCCCGCUGUUCUGACGGUACCCAAAGAAUAAGCACCGGCUAACUUCGUG